ACAACGGAAGCACAGGGCCUGGCGGUCAGAUAACACCAAGCUAAUCGGCCUCCAGGAUUUCUGCAGGGGGAAGAUGGGUCACUGUUGGGGUCCCUAGAGCUGCCCCCACAGCUGUCUGGGCCUCAGUCUCCUCCUCUGAGGAGCAGGUGACCUGAGAGGAUCUCUAAGGGUGUUGGCGAGAACUCAGCAGGGGGCUGGGUGUCCUGUGCACCCCUCAUCUGUAAACCGCAUGCUACUGCCACCACUCCUGCUGAGAAGAUCAAAGGAGACAGCAGGAGGCAUGCAGUCCUUCACUCCAUGAGUGUUUACUGAGCGCCCAUUGUGAGCAGGCACUGGAUAUGGGAGGAAGGGGACACAGACCCCCGCUCUGGCAGAGAGCUGGGCGCGAGACACCACAGCCCUGUUCAUGUCACAUGUCCUUCCAGUAGCUCAGGCCGGAGAGGGGACCAAUGAUGCCUGUCAUCCCACAUCCCAUCCCGUGGCCAUGUGCAGCACCACCUUUCAAGAUCCAUCCAGAAUCUACCUGGUUCUCAGCCUGGCCCAGCCUCCACCAGGUCCCUCCCUGUUCAGCCGCUUCUGGACUCCAAGACCCCUCCCCUUAGCGCCCCUUUAUCUGCUCCCCAC
ensembl:lncRNA